UACGGAGAGUGCAAGCGUUGUUCGGAAUUACUGGGCUUAAAGGGCGUGUAGGCGGAGUGGAGGGUGUCUUGUGAAAGCCCCGGGCUUAACCCGGGAGGUGCAAGGCAAACCGCCAUUCUUGAGGCAGGUAGAGGUGACUGGAACAACUGGUGGAGCGGUGAAAUGCGUAGAUAUCAGUUGGAACGCCGGCGGCGAAAGCGAGUCACUGGGCCUGUCCUGACGCUGAGACGCGAAAGCGUGGGGAGCGAACAGGAUUAGAUACCCCUGUA
rnacentral:rRNA from 1 species